rnacentral:lncRNA from 1 species
AACGAACCAAUCCUUAUCAACACAAGAUGAUUAAACACCUUAAUCUCCUCGCAUUCGUCGAAUAUGCCAUCAUCGCCAUUGUUUUUACAGCCAUAACUGUUAGCUCUGAUGAUGCAGUACCAAUACCAGAGGCUGAAGCUGAAGUAAACGCUUGGUUUGAAGCUAAUGUCAAGCCAUUGGCAGACCGUAAGGGCACUUUAGAUGGGAACCUUGAAGCAGCUGAAGCUACUCCCAAAACUAUUAAGGUGAGCGCAGAUGGAAGUGGAGAGUUCAAGACUAUAACAGAUGCUGUUAAGAGCAUUCCAGCCAAAAACACACAACGCGUGAUUGUGGAUAUUGGACCUGGAACUUAUACCGAGAAAAUUACCGUUGAAAAAGAAAAGGGCUUUGUUUCAUUUAUCGGAGUACCUGAGAAGACAAUCAUAGAAUUUGCUGGCACUGCUCAUGAAUAUGGAACUGUGUAUAGCGCCACAUUACAAGUGGAGUCUGAUUUCUUCGUGGGAAGCGGUUAAGUUAUCAAGGACCAUUAACAACGCUUUAGAACUUCCGUUAUUUCUGCUUUUCAUUUCUGUCACGUUUUAACAAUUUAUGGACUUACUAUUGCAUUAGAAUACUGCACCUCCGCCUGAUGGAGUAAGACCUGGAGCCCAAGCAGUUGCUUUCAGAAUUGGUGGAAAUAUGGCAAGUUUUUACAAUUGCAGAUUUAUUGGAUUUCAAGAUACAAUAUGUGAUGACAAAGGGUUUCACUUUUUUAAAGACUGUUACAUUGAAGGCACCGUUGAUUUCAUCUUUGGGAGCGGAAAGUCUAUUUAUCUGGUAAUAAAACUUCCAUUAAAACUCAACAUAUAUUGGAUUUUGUUUAUAUGCACAUAGUAUCUUUAUUUCUUGAAUAUCACCAUCAAUAUAUAUUCCAUGCAGAAUACCCAGUUAGAGGUUAUACAAGAUAAGGACAUGACAGUGAUUGUUGCACAAGCAAGAGGAAAUGCUGAAGAGACUGGCUUUUCAUUUGUUCAUUGUAGCAUAACUGGAAAAGCAAAAGGAGCAUUCCUAGGCCGAGCAUGGAUGCCAGCUCCUAAGGCGAUAUUUGCAUAUAGUACCAUAAGUGAUGUUAUCUGUCCCGAAGGAUGGUCUAACAAUCAACAUCCUGAACGAGAGCCGUAAGAAAUUUUUAACUAAUAUUUGUAAACUCAAUGACUAAUAUAUAACACUCAUUUUGCAUAUUUCAAUAAUUUUCUGUGGGCUUUGCAGAGAGAUCUUCUUUGGAGAAUAUAAAAAUACAGGACCUGGCGCAGCUAUUGAGGGACGUGUUAAAUUUGCCAAGCAACUAACUGAAGCCGAAGUAAAACCUUUCAUUUCUCUCAGUUAUAUUGAAGGUUCUAAAUGGCUGCUUCCUCCUCCCAAAUUGUGAGGAGGUUAUUUGUUGCAAGAAAUAUAUAAAUUUGAGAGCAAUGAUGUUUAGGGUACACGAAGUCAUACUUGCCUGGGGUGAAUAAACUAGGUUAUUAUCAUAAACCUAAUGUAAUUUCUUUUCAGAAUAAUAAUUUUAUAAUUAUCAUAUCUUAUUAUUAUAAAUAUUUUUAUUUUUAGUUAUUUUAAUAGUUUUUCUUCCACAAUUGUCGAUGAAUGUAUGUUUCUCAUGGUUAUAUUUAUUUUCUCUUGAUAAAAAAGGAGAUUUGAUAUUUGUUAAAAGAAUGGUUAAAUACAAUUCAUUUAAAAUUUUUCACUUUAUUCAUUGACAAUGCUAUCCAUACAUUUUAUUUUUUUCAAUAUAUCCUAUCUCUCUAUUUUUUUACUUUAUUAUAUUAUUUUAAUAUUUAUAGUAAAAUUAAAAUUUAAUAAAUAUCUAAAAUUAAGAGAUGAAGCCAUAAAUUUUAUCCCAGCUCGUAUAUUUAAGUAUUUGUAUUAUUUAUUUAAUUUAUUUGUUAACUUAUGUAGUCAUAUUUAAAAAAAAUACAACUCAAAAAUAAAAUAUUCUAAACUAAUGUAGUAGACCAAUUAAUUUUUGUACAAAAUAAAAUAAUCACUAAAAAAAUUAAUUCUUUCCAACUUAUAUUGAUGCCUCCAAAUUAUAUAUUUUUUUCUUGUAUUUAAGUAUUACCUCAAGUCUCAUGUAAUUUUUUAAAAAGACCAAAUAUGGACAUGAGAUAAAAAUAGGACAAAUAAUUUCAAAAAUGGAAAUAUUAACAAAACAUGUUAAUCCAUAUAUAUUUCGAUGUGUUGAAAAUAAUUUAAAGGUUUAUAUAUAUCUUAUGGAAUAAUUUUAGUCCAUUUGGCCUUCAAUACUAAAGUAUUUUAUACUCAUUAAAAUUAUUAGAUACUGGUAUGAAUACAAACUGAAUAAAUGCAACUUAAAUAUGUGUAUUUUAAGUCAAUUUGUAUUUUAAGUCAACUUAAAUAGUAUCAUAGUUGUGGGUUUGCUUUCGCAAGAACCCACGUCUCUACACCAUCCACAAUAGUAAUUUUGAAUAGCUCCAUUAAAACACAUUCGUGAGAGAGAAGGAAAAAAAAUAUUUUAAUGAUAAGUUUCCUAUUACCAACUCUCAUGUUUAAGUUUUAUUUACACUUACACUAAUUCAACACGUUGCAAAAGCUUUUUUCAAUUUUUAAAAUAAAUACGUUUUUGCUUCCGCUGGAUUACUUUUGCUCAACCAAAUUUAUUAUGAUUGAUAUUAUAAAUUCAUAUACUAGAUUUGUUAAUUUUCUAAUACAUUGUUUUUCCUUGAACAUAAACAAUAAUUUCUAUUGUACCAAUUUAAGCAAAAUUACUCCCUCUAACUUAACAAUUGACGAUUGAUUUAUGAAGAGUUAUGGCAGAAUUGAAUUCGGAGAAAAGUGGUCGGAAAAAACAAUAAAUAUGUAUUAAUAGGACCAAAUUUUGAAGAGAUCCAUUCGUGAAAGGAGAGGAAAAAAAAAAAAUUUAAUAUCAAGUUUCCUGAUACCAAUUCUGAUGUUUGAGUUUUAUUUACACUUACACUAAUUCAAGAUAUAGCAAAAGGCUUUUUCGUUUUUUAAAAUAAAUACGCUUUUGCUUUCGCUAGAUUACUUUUGCUAAACCUAAUUUAUUAUGAUUGAUAUUACAAAUUUAUAUACUAGAUUUGUUAAUUUUCUAUUACACGGUUCUUCCCUGAACAUCAAAAAUAGUUUCCACUGUACAAAUUUAGGCAAAAUUACUCCCUCUAACUUAACAAUUGAAGAUUGAUUUAUGAAGAGUUAUGGCAGAAGUGAGUUUGGAGAAAGUGGUCGGAAAAAAUAAUAAAUAUGUAUUAGUAGGACCACAUUUUUAUAUCUAUAACUCAUUUUUUAAGUUAUUAAAAUAGUUAACACUGAAAAGUUUAGGUAAAAUAGUUAAGUUUUAAAUGUAUUUUACAUUGUUUUUUAGUAUGCAAAAAAAAUAUUACUUGUAUUUAUUUUGAAUUACAAAAUAACUAAAGAAAUAAAAAAUAAAAUUAACACAAGCCACAAAUUUCAAACAAGAUAAACGAGAAACACUCCCAUUAUUGCAAAAGAAAGCAAGAGAAUGCGAUAAACUUUCUAAAUCUCAAUUGUAUUCAGACUUCUUCCUCUUCAGUGUUAUAUAAAUUGCCACAUUCAUAACAAAAAAGAAACAUAUCAAGAAACUAAAAAUCUAUACAAGAUGAUUAAACACCUUAGUCUCCUCGCAUUCGUCGAAUAGGCAAUCAUCGCCAUUGUUUUUACAGACAUAAAUGUUAGCUCUGAUGAUGCAGCACCAAUGCCAGAGGCUGAAGCUGAAGUAAACGCUUGGUUUGAAGCUAAUGUCAAGCCAUUGGCAGAUCGUAAGGGCACUUUAAAUGCUGACCUUGAAGCAGCUGAAGCUACUCCCAAAACUAUUACGGUGAGAGCAGACGGAAGUGGAGAGUUCAAGACUAUAACAGAUGCUGUUAAGAGCAUUCCAGCCAAAAAUGCACAACGCGUGAUUGUGGAUAUUGGACCUGGAACCUAUACCGAGAAAAUUACCGUUGAAAAAGAUAAGCCCUUUGUUUCGUUUGUCGGAGUACCUGAGAAGACAAUCAUAGAAUUUGCUGGCACUGCUCAUGAAUAUGGAACUGUGUAUAGCGCAACAUUACAAGUUGAGUCUGAUUUCUUCGUGGGAAGCGGUUUAGUUAUCAAGGUCCAUUUACAAUGCUUUUGCUUUUCUUCCGUUAUUUAUGCUUUUCAUUUCUGUCACAUUUUAACAAUUUAUGGAUUUACUAUCGCAUUAGAAUACUGCACCUGCGCCUGAUGGAAAAAGACCUGGAGCCCAAGCAGUUGCUUUCAGAAUUGCUGGAAGUAUGUCAAGUUUUUACAAUUGCAGAUUUAUUGGAUUUCAAGAUACAAUAUGCGAUGACAAAGGAUUUCACUUUUUUAAAGACUGUUACGUUGAAGGCACCGUUGAUUUCAUUUUUGGGAGCGGAAAGUCUAUUUAUCUGGUAAUAAAACUUCCAUUAGAACUCAACAUAUAUUGGAUUUGUUUAUAUGCACAUGAUAUCUUUAUUUAUGAAUAUCAACAUCAACAUCAACAUAUAUUCUAUGCAGAAUACCCAGUUAGAGGUGCUGCAAGAUAAGGAAAUGACAGUGAUUGUUGCACAAGCAAGAGGAAACGCUGAAGAUACUGGCUUUUCAUUUGUUCAUUGUAGCGUAGCUGGGAAAGCAAAAGGAGCAUACCUAGGCCGAGCAUGGAUGCCAGCUCCUAAGGCGGUAUUUGCAUAUAGUACCAUAAGUGAGGUUAUCUGUCCCGAAGGAUGGUCUAAUAAUGAACAUCCUGAAAGAGAGCCGUAAGAAAUUUUUAACUAAUCUCUUUAAACUCAUAAAAUGACUUAUCUAUAAUACUCAUUUUGCAUAUUUCAAUAAGGUUCUGUGCACUUUGCAGAGAGAUCUUCUUUGGAGAAUUUAAGAAUUCAGGACCAGGCGCAGCUGCUGAUGGACGUGUUAAAUUUGCCAAGCAACUGACUGAAGCAGAAGUAAAACCUUUCAUUUCUCUUAGGAUGCCAGCUCCUAAGGCGAUAUUUGCAUAUAGUACCAUAAGCGAGGUUAUAUGUCCCGAAGGAUGGUCUAAUAAUGAACAUCCUGAAAGAGAGCCGUAAGAAAUUUUAGCUAAUCUCUUUAAUCUCAUAAAAUGACUUAUCUAUAAUACUCAUUUUGCAUAUUUCUAUAAGGUUCUGUGAAUUUUGCAGAGAGAUCUUCUUUGGAGAAUUUAAGAAUUCAGGACCAGGUGCAGCUCCUGAUGGACGUGCUAAAUUUGCCAAGCAAUUAACUGAAGCAGAAGUAAAACCUUUCAUUUCUCUUAUUUAUAUUGAAGGUUCUAAAUGGCUGCUUCCUCCUCCCAAAUUGUGAGGACUAUAUUUAUAGCAGGAAGUAUAUGAAUUUGAGCGCAAUGAUGUUUAGGCGUACAUGGCCAUCUACGCCGGAAGAAUCCCUUGUUAUUUUGGAAGGCCUAUCUUAUGGUUUUGGCAUCUUAGUUACCACUUGUAAAUAAGCCAGAUUAGAGUAAUAUAUCUGGUUCUGCAAUUUUCCCAACAAUGAUUUUGCAAUUAUCUCAUUUAUUAGUUUCAUGUAAUUUUUAGUCAUUUUAUAAUUAUUAGCCCAUAAAUACAUGUUUUCUCCCCCAUUGACUUCAAUUUUCCAUUUGAUACAAACCAUAAAUUUUCUUUCUAAAUACUGAUUAAUAAAUAGAAUAUUCAGAAUAAAGAGUGUCUGCGUGUAAUUAUGGAUAUACUAACUAAAUAAGGAAUGAAAACUAACUAAUUAGGAGCCAAUCAGGUGGUGGUCUGGUUGGUCUUCUCUCUUAUGUGAGGAGUGGGAGGCUGCCCUGUGUUGUAUAGUCCAUAGUAUUAUUUCGGUCUAUAAAAGUCUCUAAUGAAUUUAAAAAACUAACUAAUUAGGAAAAAAAAAAAGAUUUUUUAACUAAAAAGGAAAGAUAAAAUCUAACUACAUAAGAAAAUAUCAUUGCCUUAACUAAAUAGGGACAAAGAUACAUAAUAUAUAAGAACAAUAAAUAAAAUUUUAAAAUAAUAUCCUAAGAAAUAAACAAUAAUGCUAUAUAAGAAUUUCAUCCAAAUAAGUUGUGUUAACUGUUAGGUACACAUACACAUGAAAUUUGUAGCUUUGUAGUGUUGCACUCUAGCUAUGACAAUCUUGAUGCAAUAUAAAUUAAAUCUUUCAUAUUUUAUUCAUAGAAAUUUUUGAGGUCGGAUGGCAUUUAAAUAAUGGAAUGUAUACAUCUCAUGAAUUUGCUAGAUUCUUUCAAUUAAUAGAGAAAAAAAAUGAAGUAUGCUACAUGGAAUUAAUAGAUUUCGAGGUAUCCCCAAUUACAUUAAUUUAGAAGAGAGAAAAAUAUCAUCUCAAUGCUGGAAUUUUCUCAAUUCUAUCAUUAUUAAUCAUUUAAUUUUUUUUCCAAAAAUAUCUUUUAAAUUCAUGGAUUAUAUUUUUUCAUUUAAAUAAUGGAAUAUGAAAUUCCAUUGAUUUUACAAUUCAUAAAUUUUAUAUUUCGUGAAUUUGGUAAAUUUUAUGACCAAAUUUCAUCAAUUUAAAUUAUCUCCUUGAGACUAAAAAAGUGUGAAGUAAGACAGAUGUUAAAAGUUUUAACAAUGAUUGUACAUUUGUUUUUUUUUUUUUUUUUUUUUUCUUGAAAACAUUGUACAUUUGUUGUUAAUCUCUUGCAAGUUCCAUGUGAAUUGAAGAUUUUUUUUUUUUUUUUUAAAGUUUCCGAAUGCUAUAAAUAAUAGAAAUUCAUUGUUCAAGAUCAGUACUACAAAUUAGCACAUUCAUUAAAGUUUUAAGAACCAAACUUUAUGAAAUUCAAACAUGACUAUAUUAAAUUCUAGAAUAUAAAAACUAUGAAGACCUCCUCGACCGUAAGAUUCAGAAUCUGACAGAAUUAAAAAUAUAUUCAUGCAGAAGAUGACAAAAAAUGAAUUUUUUAGAAAUUAUUUCGGUAUUUUUUUUUAGUGUACUUUAAGAUCUGGUUAAAGCUCCACUGAUGAAAAUAAAAAUUUUUUAAAAAUUAUUUCUACUUUAUUUCUUUUUUCCUUUAGCUUUAAAGUCUGGAUUUUUUUCUUACAAAAUCAAGAUAUAGUUGAAGAAUAAUAAUUUCUUUGUCAGGUAAAAAGAAAAAAUUGCAACACAUAAUUUUGAUGUAUGCCACACGGCGGAUUUAUGUUCACGACAAAGUUUCUUUAUAUAUAUAGAAAUAAAAGCAGAGCAGUUUGCAAUAUAUAAAGCAAAGCAUAAGUCUAUGAAAUUAUCAAAUGUGAGGAGAAUAACAAUUAUUUAGGACAAUUAUAGUUGGACAAUAAUUAUUUAGGGUAGUUGUAAGAACAUGAGUUAUUUUAUAUUUUCCAAAAGGUUGGAUGAAUUAUUAAAAAUUAAAAUUAAAAUUAAAAUUAAAUAAAAAAUUAAAAAGAGAUACAGUAGGGACCAACAACCACUGUAAUAUAUACUUACAACUUUUUAUUUUUAUUUUUUAUUUUUCAUUUUUCCCACUCAAUUACGCAUCAUGAUUAAAGUUAGGGUUUCGAAACACAGAUUGCGGAAGAUCAGUAAGCAUUUAUCAGGAUUCUGUUAUUCAUGAUUUAUUUUAUAUGGCUGUUUGGCUCUAAAGAAAACCCUGUAAAAAAACCAUAUCAGUUUCCUUUUGUUUGCGGCAAUUAUAAAGUCUAAGUUUUUCUGUUAGCUUUUAUAUGUUUGUUGUGUGUUCAUAAUGAAUGUGAGAUUCUUUUUUGUUAUCUAAUUUGACAUAACGCACUCAAACAGGAAUUAGUUUGCUUUUUAUUUAAAUGUCCUUUUCUUGGUUUAAUAUUAUUUAGAUAUUGGAAGUCCAAGCAAACUCCAGUAUAACUCCAAGCUUGAAAUCCCUUCAUGAAACCCACAUCAAGUUCUUUUUAAUCUAUUCCAAAAAUCUGUCCAUGAGUAGUUAUCCAGUGCUCAAUUUGCACUUGAAACAACAAAGAUUUUUUUUUUUUUUUUUCCACUCCCCAAGUACCUGUUUAUAAAGCCUAAUUCUCCAAAUAAAUAUCUUUCACUUCUAGCUUUCAUAUCAACCCAAAACCAGGUUUCUACAGGUGAAGAAGACAUUCAGUUUACUUAAAAUAUACAUGUGAUGAUGUGUUGCAGUUUUUGGUUUUGCAUACUAAAGACUCUUUUCAUUAAGCUGCUUCUCCUCUAGGAUGUCAAAUUGGCCAUUCCCAUCUAAUAUGGACGUUCAAACGUAAUAUAAUCUAAAUGACUCUUCUUCAUAUUUAGAAAGGGCAGCUUUUAUUCCUGUAAACCGAGGCAUAAAUUAUUAGUUUCACUAACUGGACUGCGUUAGAGUUUAGGCAGUUUUUGCUCUAUACACUCUCAUGUGUUUGCGUUAGAGUUUUUAUUUGCAUCAAUAUUUUUUCCUAAUGGUUCAUCUUUGAUUUCAGGGAGAUCGUAUCCAUGCACUGAUUAGUAAAAAUAUUAUUCGUUUAUUCAAAUCAAAGAUACACGAGUUUAGAUUAUAUUUCAUGAAGAACUUUAUAAUUGCACCAAAUAAUUAUAUAGAAAAUCGUUUCACAUAUAUUUUCUAUGAGUUGCUACUAUUGAUUUUAUAGGAAAAUAACCGAGUUUGGCUCAUUGUGGUUAAUGCCGUACUUUUUUUCCUAAGUAUUAUUAUUUGAUGCAGUUUAUACCAUGCAUGAUUUUUGUUAUGCAUACCCUAGUAAAAGGCUUCACAUGAUACUUAAGAAUCUCUCAAUAAAAUAAAAUUUUGUAAUGCAUUUCAAUGAGAUACUUUAUUAUACAAUUUUAUUAUUUUUCAAUGCUGUUAUAAAAGAUAAUUUCAUCAUUCAAUAUUGCUUCGUGCAUCACGCAAGUUCUUACAUGAAUAAUAUAUAAAAGUAAUGUAGUUUGCCUUAUAUGGUGUAAGUAGCACAAUUUGCCAUUUGACAUUAUUUUGAAUUAUAGAGUGACAGAUGUUAGAAUUUUAAUACAAUCUGCCACUUGGCGGUGUUUUGAAUUAUAAAAUGACAAAUAUUAGAAUUCUAACACAAAUUAGCAUAAUUGUAAGAAUUGUAAGAAUUGUAAGGAGAUCAGUUAUUUUAUAUUUUCAGAUGAUUCCUUUAUCAACAUAAUAUCUAUAAAAAAAAUUAUCUUUAGCAUUCAAUAUAUUAAUAUAAAUUUAUUUCUUUUUACAAAAUAAUUAAUAAGUAAUCCACACACAUAAAAAAAUUGUGAAUAAACAAUAUAUUACUAUUAAAUAAACAAUAUAUAAACAAUUUAAAAAAUAUAAAUUGUAAUGUACUGAAUACGAUAAUUUUUUUUUAAAAAAAUAUGACAUUCACACGCUUAGAACACAUACAUUCAAUAAGUAAUAUAUUAAUAUUUCAAAUAAAUAAAUAGUCACUUAUAAUAAAUUAUAAAUAAAUUUAAAAAGUUAAUUUCUUAUUUCAAUCAUACAAUUCUAAUUUUGAAGAGCUCCAUUCGUGAAAUGAGAGGAAAAAAAUAUUUAAUAUCAAGUUUCCCAAUACCAAUUCUGAUGUUUGAGUUUUAUUUACACUUACACUAUUUCAAGAUAUAGCAAAAGCCUUUUUCGAUUUUUAAAAUAAAUACGCUUUUGCUUUCGCUAGAUUACUUUUGCUAAACCAAAUUUAUUAUGAUUGAUAUUAUAAAUUUAUAAAUUAGAUAUGUCAAUUUUCUAUUACACAGUUCUUCCUUGAACAUCAAAAAUAGUUUACACUGUAUCAAUUUAGACAAAAUUACUCCCUCUUACUCAACAAUUGACAAUUGAUUUAUGAAGAGUUAUGGCAGAAUUGCGUUUGGAGAAAGUGAUCGGAAAAAAACAAUAAAUAUGUAUUAGUAGGUCCAAAUUUUUACAAUCAUAACUCAUUUUUUAAGUUAUUAAAACAGCAGCACCGAACAGUUUAGGUAAAAUAGUAAAGUUUUAAAUGCAUUUUACAUUUUUUUUUUUUUGUGCAAAAAAAAAAAAAAAUCUUGUAUUUAUUUUGAAUUACAAAAUAAAUAAAUAAAAAAAAAAUAGAAGUGACACAAGCCACAAAUUUCAAACAAGAUACACGAGAAUCACUCCCAUUACUGCAGAAGAAAGCAAGAGAAUGCGAUAAACUUUCUAAAUCUCAAUUGUAUUAAGACUUCUUCCUCUUCAGUGUUAUAUAAAUUGCGAAUUCAUAAUAAAAAAGAAGCAAGAAACAUAUCAAGAAACUAAAAAUCUAUACAAGCUGAUUAAACGCCUUAGUCUCCUCGCAUUCGUCGUAUAUGCCAUCAUCGCCAUUGUUUUUACAGCAAUAACUGUUAGCUCUGAUGAUGCAGCACCAAUACCAGAGGCUGAAGCUGAAGUAAACGCUUGGUUUGAAGCAAAUGUCAAGCCACUGGCAGACCGUAAGGGCACUUUAAAUGCUGACCUUGAAGCGGCUGAAGCUACUCCCAAAACUAUUAAGGUGAGAGCAGACGGAAGUGGAGAGUUCAAGACUAUAACAGAUGCUGUUAAGAGCAUUCCAGCCAAAAAUGCACAACGCGUGAUUGUGGAUAGUGGACCUGGAACCUAUACCGAGAAAAUUACCGUUGAAAAAGAUAAGCCCUUUGUUUCGUUUGUCGGAGUACCUGAGAAGACAAUCAUAGAAUUUGCUGGCACUGCUCAUGAAUUUGGAACUGUGUAUAGCGCAACAUUACAAGUGGAGUCUGAUUUCUUUGUGGGAAGCGGUUUAGUUAUCAAGGUCCAUUUACAACGCUUUAGCUUUUCUUCCGUUAUUUAUGCUUUUCAUUUCUGUCACGUUUUAACAAUUUAUGGACUUACUAUUGCAUUAGAAUACUGCACCUCCGCCUGAUGGAGUAAGACCUGGAGCGCAAGCAGUUGCUUUCAGAAUUGCUGGAAGUAUGUCAAGUUUUUACAAUUGCAGAUUUAUUGGAUUUCAAGAUACAAUAUGCGAUGACAAAGGGUUUCACUUUUGGAAAGACUGUUACGUUGAAGGCACCGUUGAUUUCAUCUUUGGGAGUGGAAAGUCUAUUUAUCUGGUAAUAAAACUUCCAUUAAAACUCAACAUAUAUUGGAUUUUGUUUAUAUGCACAUAGUAUCUUUAUUUCUUGAAUAUCAACAUCAAUAUAUAUUCCAUGCAGAAUACCCAGUUAGAGGUUAUACAAGAUAAGGACAUGACAGUGAUUGUUGCACAAGCAAGAGGAAAUGCUGAAGAUACUGGCUUUUCAUUUGUUCAUUGUAGCNNNNNNNNNNNNNNNNNNNNNNNNNNNNNNNNNNNNNNNNNNNNNNNNNNNNNNNNNNNNNNNNNNNNNNNNNNNNNNNNNNNNNNNNNNNNNNNNNNNNNNNNNNNNNNNNNNNNNNNNNNNNNNNNNNNNNNNNNNNNNNNNNNNNNNNNNNNNNNNNNNNNNNNNNNNNNNNNNNNNNNNNNNNNNNNNNNNNNNNNNNNNNNNNNNNNNNNNNNNNNNNNNNNNNNNNNNNNNNNNNNNNNNNNNNNNNNNNNNNNNNNNNNNNNNNNNNNNNNNNNNNNNNNNNNNNNNNNNNNNNNNNNNNACUGAAGCAGAAGUAAAACCUUUCAUUUCUCUUAGCUAUAUUGAAGGUUCUAAAUGGCUGCUUCCUCCUCCCAAAUUGUGAGGACUAUAUUUAUAGCAGGAAGUAUAUGAAUUUGAGCGCAAUGAUGUUUAGGCGUACAUGAAGCCAUCUACGCCGAAAGAAUCCCUUGUUAUUUUGGAAGGCCUAUCUUAUGGUUUUGGCAUCUUAGUUACCACUUGUAAAUAAGCCAGAUUAGAGUAAUAUAUCUGGUUCUAUAAUUUUCCCAACAAUGAUUUUGCAAUUAUCUCAUUUAUUAGUUUCAUUUAAUUUUUAGUCAUUUUAUAAUUAUUAGCCCAUAAAUACAUGUUUUCUCCCCAAUCACAUCAAUUUUCCAUUUGAUGGAAACCACAAAUUGUCUUUCUAAAUACUGAUUAAUAAAUAGAAUACUCAGAAUUAAAAGUGUCUGCGAGUAAUUAUGGAUAUACUAACUAAAUAAGAAAUGAAAACUAACUAAUUAGAAGCCAAUCAGGUGGUGAUCUGGUUGGUCUUCUCUCUUAUGUGAGGAGUGGGAGGGCCGCCCCAUGUUGUAUAGUUCACAGUGUUAUUUCGGUCCAUAAAAACCUCUAAUAAAUUUAAAAAGCUAACUAAUUAGGAAAAAAAAAUGAUUUUUUAACUAAAAAGGAAAGAUAAAAUCUAACUACAUAAGAAAAUAUCAUUGCCUUAACUAAAUAGGGACAAAGGUACAUAAUAUAUAAGAACAAGAAAUAAAAUUUUAAAAUAAUAUCCUAAGAAAUAAACAAUAAUGCUAUAUAAGAAUUUCAUCCAAAUAAGUUGUGUUAACUGUUAGGUACACAUACACAUGAAAUUUGUAGCUUUGUAGUGUUGCACUCUAGCUAUGACAAUCUUGAUGCAAUAUAAAUUAAAUCUUUCAUAUUUUAUUCAUAGAAAUUUUUGAGGUCGGAUGGCAUUUAAAUAAUGGAAUGUAUACAUCUCAUGAAUUUGCUAGAUUCUUUCAAUUAAUAGAGAAAAAAAAUGAAGUAUGCUACAUGGAAUUAAUGGAUUUCGAGGUAUCCCCGAUUACAUUAAUUUAGAAGAGAGAAAAAUAUUAUCUCAAUGCUGGAAUUUUCUCAAUUCUAUCAUUAUUAAUCAUUUAUUUUUUUCCGAAAAUACCUUUUAAAUUCAUGGAUUAUAUUUUUUUCAUUUAAAUAAUGGAAUAUGAAAGUCCAUUGAUUUUACAAUUCAUAAAUUUUAUAUUUCAUGAAUUUGGUAAAUUUUAUGACCAAAUUUCAUCAAUUUAAAUUAUCUCCUUAAGAAUAAAAAAGUGUGAAGAAAGACAGAUUUUAAAAGUUUUAACAAUGAUUGUACAUUUGUUGGUUUUUUUUUUUCUUGAAAACAUUGUACAUUUGUUGUUAAUCUCUUGCAAGUUGCAUGUGAAUUGAAGAUUUUUUUUUUUAAAGUUUCCGAAUGCUAUAAAUAAAUAGAAAUUCAUUGUUCAAGAUCAGUACUACAAAUUAGCACAUUCAUUAAAGUUUUAAGAACCAAACUUUAUGAAAUUCAAACAUGACUAUAUUAAAUUCUGGAAUUUAAAAACUAUGAAGAUCUCCUCGACCGUAAGAUUCAGAAUCUGACAGAAUUAAAAAUAUAUUCAUGCAGAAGAUGAUAAAAAAUGAAUUUUUUAGAAAUUAUUUCGAUAUUUUUUUUAGUGUACUUUAAGAUCUGCUUAAAUCUGCACUUAUGAAAAUAAAAAUUUUUUAAAAAUUAUUUCUACUUUAUUUCUUUUUUCCUUUAGCUUUAAGGUCUGGAUUUUUUUUUUUUUUUUUUUUUUACAAAAUCAAGAUAUAGUUGAAGAAUACUAAUUUCUUUGUCAGGUUAAAAAAAAAAAAAUUGCAACACAUAAUUUUGAUGUAUGCCACACGGCGGAUUUAUGUUCACGACAAAGUUUAUAUAUAUAUAUAUAAAUAGAUCGGUUUGCAAUAUAUGGAAGCAAAGAAUAAGCCCUGAAAUUGCCAAAUGUGAGGGGAUAACAAUUAUUCAGGGUAGUUUUAAAAACAUGAGUUAUUUUAUAUUUUCCAAAAGGUUGGAUCAAUUAUUAAAAAUUAAAAUUAAAAUUAAAUAAAAAUUUAAAAUAGAUACAGUAGGGACCAACAACAACCGUAAUAUAUACUUACAACUUUUAUUUUUUUUCAUUUUUCCCACUCAAUUACGCAUCAUGAUUAAAGUUAGGGUUUCGAAACACAGAUUGCGGAAGAUCAGUAAGCAUUUAUCAGGAUUCUGUUAUUCAUGAUUUAUUUUAUAAGGCUGUUUAGCUCUAAAGAAAACCCUAUAAAAAAACCAUAUCAGUUUCCUUUUGUUUGCGGCAAUUAUAAAGUCUCAGUUUUUCUGUUAGCUUUUACAUGUUUGUUGUGUUUGCGUUAGAGUUUUUAUUUGCAUCAAUAUUUUUUCCUAAUGGUUCAUUUUUGAUUUCAGGGAGAUCGUAUCCAUGCAAUGAUCAGUAAAAAUAUUAUUCAUUUAUUCAAAUUAAAGAUACACGAGUUUGGAUUAUAUUUCAUGCAGAACUUUAUAAUUGCACCAAAUAAUUAUAUAGAAAAUCGUUUCACAUAUAUUUUCUAUGAGUUGCUACUAUUGAUUUUAUAGGAAAAUAACCGAGUUUGGCUCAUUCUGGUUUAUGCCGUAUUUUUUUUCCUAAGUAUUAUUAUUUGAUGAAAGUUAUACCAUGCAUGGUUUUUGCUAUGCAUACCUUGGUAAAAGGCUUCACAUGUUACUUAAGAAUCUCUCAAUGAGAUAUAAUUUUGUAAUACAUUUCAAUGAGAUAUUAUAUUAUACAAUUUUAUUAUUUUUCAAUGCUGUUAUAAAAGAUAAUUUCAUCAUUCAAUAUUGCUUCGUGCAUCACGCGAGUUCUUACACGAAUAAUAUAUAAAAAUAAUAUAGUUUGCCUUAUAUGGUAUAAGUAGCACAAUUUACCAUUUGACAUUAUUUUAGAUUAUAGAGUGACAGAUGUUAGAAUUCUAAUAUAAUCUGCCACUUGGCGGUUUUUUGAAUUAUAGAAUGACAAAUAUUAGAAUUCUAACACAAAUUAGCACAAUUGUAAGAAUUAUAAAGAGAUCAGUUAUUUUAUAUUUUUAGAUGAUUCCUUUAUCAACGUAAUAUCUAUAAAAAAAAUUAUCUUUAGCAUUCAAUAUAUUAAUAUAAAUUUAUUUCUUCUUACAAAAUAAUUAAUAAGUAAUCCACACACAUAAAAAAAGUGUGAAUAAAUAAUAUAUUACUAUUAAAUAAACAAUUUAAAAAAUAUAAAUUGUAACGUCCUGAAUACGAUAAUUUUUAAAACACAUGCUUAGAACACAUACAUUCAAUAAGUAAUAUAUUAAUAUGCCAAAUAAAUAAACAAUCAUUUAUAAUAAAUUAUAAAUAAAUUUAAAAAAUUAAUUUCUUAUUUCAAUCAUACAAUUCUAAUUUUGAAGAGCUCCAUUCGUGAAAGGAGAGGAAAAAAAUAUUUAAUAUCAAGUUUCCUAAUACCAAUUCUGAUGUUUGAGUUUUAUUUACACUUACACUAAUUCAAGAUAUAGCAAAAGCCUUUUUCGAUUUUUAAAAUAAAUUCGCUUUUGCUUUCGCUAGAUUACUUUUGCUAAACCUAAUUUAUUAUGAUCGAUAUUAUAAAUUUAUAUAUUAGAUUUGUCAAUUUUCUAUUACACAGUUCUUCCUUGAACAUCAAAAAUAGUUUCCAUUGUACCAAUUUAGGCAAAAUUACUCCCUCUUACUUAACAAUUGACAAUUGAUUUAUGAAGAGUUAUGGCAGAAUUGAGUUUGGAGAAAGUGAUCGGAAAAAAACAAUAAAUAUGUAUUAGUAGGACCAAAUUUUUACAACCAUAACUCAUUUUUUAAGUUAUUAAAACAGCAGCACCGAAAAGUUUAGGUAAAAUAGUAAAGUUUUAAAUGCAUUUUACAUUGUUUUUUUAUUGUGCAAAAAAAAAAACUUGUAUUUAUUUUGAAUUACAAAAUAAGUAAAGAAAAAAAUAUUAGAAGUGACACAAGCCACAAAUUUCAAACAAGAUACACGAGAAUCACUCCCAUUACUGCAAAAGAAAGCACGAGAAUGCGAUAAACUUUCUAAAUCUCAAUUGUAUUAAGACUUCUUCCUCUUCAGUGUUAUAUAAAUUGCGAAUUCAUAAUAAAAAAGAAGCAAGAAACAUAUCAAGAAACUAAAAAUCUAUACAAGAUGAUUAAACGCCUUAGUCUCCUCGCAUUCGUCGAAUAUGCCAUCAUCGCCAUUGUUUUUACAGCCAUAACUGUUAGCUCUGAUGAUGCAGCACCAAUACCAGAGGCUGAAGCUGAAGUAAACGCUUGGUUUGAAGCAAAUGUCAAGCCACUGGCAGACCGUAAGGGCACUUUAAAUGCUGACCUUGAAGCGGCUGAAGCUACUCCCAAAACUAUUAAGGUGAGAGCAGACGGAAGUGGAGAGUUCAAGACUAUAACAGAUGCUGUUAAGAGCAUUCCAGCCAAAAAUGCACAACGCGUGAUUGUGGAUAUUGGACCUGGAACCUAUACCGAGAAAAUUACCGUUGAAAAAGAUAAGCCCUUUGUUUCGUUUGUCGGAGUACCUGAGAAGACAAUCAUAGAAUUUGCUGGCACUGCUNNNNNNNNNNNNNNNNNNNNNNNNNNNNNNNNNNNNNNNNNNNNNNNNNNNNNNNNNNNNNNNNNNNNNNNNNNNNNNNNNNNNNNNNNNNNNNNNNNNNNNNNNNNNNNNNNNNNNNNNNNNNNNNNNNNNNNNNNNNNNNNNNNNNNNNNNNNNNNNNNNNNNNNNNNNNNNNNNNNNNNNNNNNNNNNNNNNNNNNNNNNNNNNNNNNNNNNNNNNNNNNNNNNNNNNNNNNNNNNNNNNNNNNNNNNNNNNNNNNNNNNNNNNNNNNNNNNNNNNNNNNAACUCAACAUAUAUUGGAUUUGUUUAUAUGCACAUAAUAUCUUUAUUUAUGAGUGUCAACAUCAACAUAUAUUCUAUGCAGAAUACCCAGUUAGAGGUGCUGCAAGAUAAGGAAAUGACAGUGAUUGUUGCACAAGCAAGAGGAAACGCUGAAGAUACUGGCUUUUCAUUUGUUCAUUGUAGCGUAGCUGGGAAAGCAAAAGGAGCAUACCUAGGCCGAGCAUGGAUGCCAGCUCCUAAGGCGGUAUUUGCAUAUAGUACCAUAAGUGAGGUUAUCUGUCCCGAAGGAUGGUCUAAUAAUGAACAUCCUGAAAGAGAGCCGUAAGAAAUUUUUAACUAAUCUCUUUAAACUCAUAAAAUGACUUAUCUAUAAUACUCAUUUUGCAUAUUUCAAUAAGGUUCUGUGCACUUUGCAGAGAGAUCUUCUUUGGAGAAUUUAAGAAUUCAGGACCAGGCGCAGCUGCUGAUGGACGUGUUAAAUUUGCCAAGCAACUGACUGAAGCAGAAGUAAAACCUUUCAUUUCUCUUAGUUAUAUUGAAGGUUCUAAAUGGCUGCUUCCUCCUCCCAAAUUGUGAGGAGUAUAUUUAUAGGAGGAAGUAUAUGAAUUUGAGCGAAAUGAUGUUUAGGCGUACAUGAAGCCAUCUACUCUGAAAGAAUCCCUUGUUAUUUUGGAAGGCCUAUCUUAUGGUUUUGGCAUCUUAGUUACCACUUGUGAAUAAGCCAGAUUAGAGUAAUAUAUCUGGUUCUGUAAUUUUCCCAACGAUGAUUUUGCAAUUAUCUCAUUUAUCAGUUUCAUUUAAUUUUUAGUCAUUUUAUAAUUAUUAGCCCAUAAAUACAUGUUUUCUCCCCAAUGACAUCAAUUUUCCAUUUGACGGAAACCAGAAAUUGUCUUUCUAAAUACUGAUUAAUAAAUAGAUAUACAAACUAAAUAAGAAGUUGUUUUCGAAUAAUUGUUGAUAUACUAACUAAAUAAGAAAUGAAACCUACUUGAAAUGAUCUUUUAACUAAAAAGGAAAGAUAAAAUCUAACUAAAUAAGCAAAUAUCAUUGCCUUAACUAAAUAGGGACAAAGAUACAUAAUCUAUAAGAAAUAUAAAUAAUAUUUUAGAAUAAUAUCCUAAGAAAUAAACAAUUAUGGAUCCUGACCUUAGAAUUUGAUCCAAAUAACUUGUGUUAACUCUUAAGUACGCAUACACAUUAAAAUUUGUAUCUUUGGAGCCUUGCACUCAAGCUAUGAUCAAUCUUGAUGCAAUAUAAAAUUAAAUCUUUCAUAUUUUAUUUAUUGAAACUUUUGAAGUUAUUUUGAUAGGUGGAGUUUAAAUGAUGGAAUGUAUACAUGUCACGACCCGAAACCAUGGGCCGAACCGGCACUAGGGCCCAGGUAAGCUUAAGGCCCCCGAGAUCUGUAGUAAGCCUGAACCACUAAAAUUCUACUUUUUCAAUAUAAAUUUCAAACAUUUAGCCCAUAUUACUAUGCAAAAUAAAUCUCAUAAAUAUUUUAUACCUCUGCCCAAAUUUAACAUCUUAAACAUUUCACGGAUUGAAUGCAAUUUACAAUACAUCACAUUUAUAAUAUUGGCUCUCAGAAUCGUUUCAUCUAUAUUAGUACACAACUAAAUGUAUGUAAAUUCUACAACUGCGGAGUCACUAACUAUUUGAUAUACAUAACUUUUUAUACAUAUAGUUACAUAGCAAAAUAAUUAUAGAACUAAAAAAAUUUCUUUCUUGCCCUGCGGCGAAGAAAUAUAGCUUAGACCGAAUUUAAGAGAAACUUACUUCCUGAAAAAUUAAAUAAGACAUGUGAGUUUUCUAAGGAGUAAUAAUUAUUUUAUAGCACACUCAUUCACACAAAUGUGUAAAUAUAUCAAUCUAGUCAUCCGACUAGUUAUAUGCUCACGCAGUCAGUCACACAAAUGGUAUAUCACUAACACUUACAAUUAUUAACAUCUUCAUAUAAUCACAUUACGUGGAAAUUGGUCUGUGGCAUCACCAAAACCCCCAAUGAGCCAUCCUCAUACAUGCUCCACCCUCUCAUAAUGUGUGCACCAGGGAGCCGAUCCCUCAUACAUACCCGACCGAUCUAAUCCUCACUUGACCAGCCUUCUCAUUAUUUUUCCAUCCUUUAUUUUCUUUUCCUUUCCAUACCAACAGGAGGCCACCCUGUGGUUUAUCCAUAUUAUCCAUAUCAUAUCAUCAUAUGCACAUGGGAUGCCGAUCUCCCAUACAGCCAAUGGUCUCGUGGACCGCCCUUGCAAACCCAUGAUGACCCACUUCAUCCCAACUCCACAGAUACAAAGCAUAGUAUUAUCACAACACAAUUAAUCAAGUAUCGCAAUUAAAUGCAAGCAUAUUAAUCAAUUAAACAUCGUAAUGCAAUACACAAUUAGACACCCCUAUUCAAAUGCAAAUAAACAAAUCAAUAGUAUUAACAAUAAAAAACAAUAAUAAAAUAAAUAAUGACAAUAAUAAACAAUAAUAAUGAAAAUAAAUAAAUAAUUGAAUAAUAAAGAUAAUAAACAAAUAAUUAGAGCACUUUAUUUAUUAUGUAUCAAAUUAUAGAUUUAUCUAAAUAAGCUCAUUUAUUAUGUUAUUAAUUAAAAUUAGUCUAGGUUCUAUCGAAAUUUUGGCAGAACCUUCCCUAGAAAUAUGACUAUCUACCCAUUUAAAUAUCACAAUAAUAUUAUAUAUUUAUCAAUCAAUACACACAGCUCAUUCGUCAGGCAAUUCACAACAACACCUCCCAUCCGCCAUAUCCAUAAUCACCAAUCAUACCCCAUCCGCCAUAACCAUAUUCAUCCAUCACGCACACAUAUAUGCACUUAAUAAUUCAAAACCAAUUAAUUAACAAUUUAUAUUAGCCUCCGAGCAAGUUCCAAUAAUAUUAUUAAUUGUCCUGUAACUAAUUACCAAAUAUCUAAACAAUUUAUAAAUAAAACUUGGUUCGCUACUCUCAGUUGAUAGUUUUUAGACCUCUAAUUAUUAAGAAACUUCUACAUUCUUGCUUAAAAAUUCUAUACUAGCCACCGGGAACCAAUACUAAUUUAAAUUACAAUCGAAUGUAUACACCUACUAAAUAAUUCAACUCGCCGUUGGCAGGAAAAUCGUGGUUGCUCGAAACCGAGCACUCUUCACACCAUCUGACUUGGCUUGCUGUCAGGAGCCCGUUUCUCGCGUUGGUUGGGCGAGAUUGGUCCUCCAUCUGGCCGGAGCGGGCUCGGUUUUUGCUGCGCCGACUGGAACAAACAGAGAGAGAAGGAGAGGAGUUACGCCAUCGGGGAAGUGCCGGAGCCACCGACUGCGCCGGGAUCGACGGAAAACCAGUGGAGGCGCUUAUGCGCCGUUCGCCAACGAAGGACCGCGGCUCGCCCCGCUGCUGCGUUCUCCAGAAACGAGAACUGAAAGAGAAGAGGCACCGCAGGACGAUGGUGGCGCGACGGAGGAGGAGGUUCGGUCGACUCAGGUGGCCGGAAACGGAAGAGGAAAGGGAGGCACGGCGCUGGUGGUGGUGGCGCACGCUCUGGCCCUCGCCGGAAAAAUGGGGAAGGAGGGGAAAAACGAGUGCUGCCGCUAGAAAAGGAGGAGAAGAAAAGAAAAGAAAAGGAAAGAAAGAAAAAUCUGGGUCUUCUAGACCAUUUCGGUUCGAUUCGAACCGGUUUGGUCUAAUUCAAUAAUUCGGCUCGAUUUUUGUUCGGUUUCAGGUUUUUCACUUGGUUUUCAGAUUAUUUGUGUGGUUUUCAAAAAAUCAAUUUGAUUUCUGGGCCCGGUUUGAUUUAUUUUGAUUAUUUUAGUUAGGUUCUGUAACAUUUCCUCUAUUUAUUCAAUAAUAAUAAAAAUAUUAAUAGUAGUGAUAUUUGAUUUUUUUUUAGGAUAAUUAAUUUAUAUACAUUCAUAAUAGAUUAAUUGCUGGAGUUUCAUAUUAUUUCUCAAAAAUUUAACUAUUCUCAAAUCGGAAAUUCCGAUAAUAUAUUUAGACUUUGGGCCAACUCGCAAAACUUUGAGUUUAAAUUAAGAUUGUUUGGUGUUUAUAGCCAAUAUAAUUGAAAAUUAAAAUUUUUGAUUUAAUAAAAAUUUGAAAGUUUCGAAAAUAAAAAUUUAGGCAUUUCAAUACGUUUCUCGAAUUUACCAGAUUCUUUCAUUUAAUUGGGAAAAAGAUGAAGUAUACUCCAUGGAAUUAACAGAUUCCAUCGUAUCUCCAUUUCAUUAAUUUAGAAGAGAAAAAAAUAUCAUCUCAAUGUUGGAAUUUUCUCAAUUCUAUCACUUUUAUUAAUAAAGUAAAUUAAAACAUUUAAUUUUGUUCUGAAAAUAUCUUUUAAAACUAUGGAUGAUAUUUUUCGUUUAAAUAAUGGAAUAUGAAAUUCCAUUGAUUUUACAAUCCAUAAAUUUUAUAGUUGGAGAAUUUGGUAAAUUCUAUGACCAAAGUUCAUCAAUUUAAAUGAUCUCCUUAAGAAUAAAAAAUUGUGAAGUAAGACAGUUUUUUAAUUUUUAAUAAUGGUUGUACAUUUGUUUUUUUUUUUUUUUUUAUAUAUAUAAAACAUUGUACAUUUGUUGUUAGUCUCUUGCAAGUUGCAUGUAAAUUGUUGAUUUUUUUUUUUUUUUUAAGUUUCCGUAUGCUAUAAAUAAAUAGAAAUUUAUUGUUCAAGAGCAGUACUAUAAAUUAGCACAUUCAUUAAAGUUUUAAUAACCAAACUUUAUGAAAUUCAAAUAUAACUAUAUUAAAUUCUAGAAUUUAUAAACUAUGAAUAACUCCUCGACCGUAAGCUUUAGAAUCUGACUGAAUUAAAAAUCAAUUCAGGCACGGGAUGACAAAAAAAAAAAAAAGUAUUUUUAGAAAAUUAUUUCAGUAUUUCUUGUAGUGUACUUUUAGAUCCGGUUAAAGCCCCACCCAUGAAAAUAGAAAUUUUUUAAAAAUUAUUUCUACUUUAUUCUUUUUUUCCUAUUAUAUGAUCAUAAACGUAUAUUUUUCAUUUGUUAUAUAUGAAUGGAUCACAAGUCGAUCCCUUAAUUUUAUUUUCAUAAAAACGGUCAUUUCUUUUCUUUCCUUUUUCCCCUUUCAAUAGUUAAAAGCGACUUUAGUUUUAAUGUCUGGAUUUUUUUAUAUAAAAUCAAGAUAGUUUUUUUUUUUUUUUGACAGUGCAAUUGUGAUUAUAUAUUAUUAACAUCAAAAGUCAAAGCAUCCAAAAUAAUAGUUGGAGGACAAUAGCCCCGCUCUAAUGAGCCAGACUCAGAAACAACAACUCUAGCCAACUGAUAAACACACUGAUUCGCUGACUUCUUAAUAAAGUUAACACUAAUAGCAAUGAACUUUUUUAAGAGAGUUUUACAAUCUGAAAUAAUGGUCUCGAAAUAGGACAUAUCAAUCUUAGUACUCUUCAAAGCCUGAAUAAUUAUCAUGCAAUCUGUCUCCAAGUCAAUCACCGACUGCAAAUACCCCUGACCCUUCAACCAACUCAAAGCUUCUCGUACCCCUAUAGCCUCAUCUAAUAAUGCAUUAAAGCCCCCAUUUAUCCUAGUCAGCUUCCCGCCUCUACUAUACCCAUGCCAAUCACGUAGAAGCCGGGCAACACCAGCAUGUGAAUUUUGGGAAUAAAAGGCAACAUCAACAUUACACUUCAAACCAGACCCUGUAGGUGGUUUCCAUUGGAAUUGGAAAGGAAUAGCCACCACUCGUGAAACAACUUUGGCAGCCUAAGCCGUUACCCAUUCUUGAACCACUUGCUUAGCCCGAUACACACAUUCAUGGGUAUUGGCAAUACCUCUCUCCCAAACAACGUUAUUACAACUUAACCAACUACUCCACAGAAGGCAAAAAUACAUACCCCACUUAUUACCAUCAACAGUCUCUCUAAUAUGAAUAAACCAUGCCUGCAUAUCGCUAAAGCCAGUCCAACUCUGACCAUCCAGCAACUGCCAACAUUGCCUAGCAAAAUAACAGAGAAGAAAAAGGUACUGAUGGGAUUCGCACUCAACACCACACACAGGACACUUGAUCAACAACUCCUUGACGACGGUAGAGAUUUUGCUUGACCGGACGAAUAUUAUGCAAUAAACGCUAAACAAAAUUUGCAACUUUUGGAGGGACGGGUACCUUCCAUAUCUCAUCUCAUCGAAUUGCACUACCAUCAUCAUCUGAUAUCUGCUGAUCUACUAUAAGCUUGUACCCACUACGAACAGAGUACACACCCCAUGGGUCCCACCACCACAUCCAGCCAUCCACCCCCAUAGCACCAUUCAUAUGGCACAUUACAAAUUUAUAUUUUUUGGGAAUUGGUUCUGAAAUAUGAAGAAUGCGAUCAAUCUCAUUCUUAGUAAAAAGCAAGUUCAGAAAUUGAAUAUCCCACACACUUCCGUCUGGCAGCGGUAAAUCAGAAACCAGAAGCCCAUCCACGCCUGAAAUAUUAUCACUUAAAAUAAAAGGGUGAGAUGGGUCAGGCAACCAAGGACUAUUGUAAACUUCAGUAGUAUGACCAUUAACAAACGAUGCAAACAACCCGCCUUUAACAGCUGUUGACUCUUAACAGUAGAUUUCCACACAAAGCUUGGAUUGCAUCCUACUUUAGCCUGGAAAAAAGAGCACUCCUUAAAAUAACGUGCCUUAUAAACACGAGAAACCAGUGCAUUUGGAUCUUUUAAGAACUUCCACCCUUGGUUCGCCCGUAGCGCCAAGUUAAAUUCACGUAUAGUUCAAAAUCCAAGCCCACCAUCUGAUUUUGCUUUGGCCAACCGCUUCCACCUUUGCCAAUGAAUACCAGAGUCAUUAUCCAUUGAAGCCCUCCACCAAUAUCGAUUCAUCAACUUUUCAAUGGCAUCAAAGUAUUCAACGGCAAUAAAAAAACACUCAUAAGAUAGUUCGGAAUGGCCUGCACACAGUCUUUAGUAGAACCUCUUUUUCGACACGAGAUAAUAGAUUCCCUUACCACCCUUGAAGCUGCCGCCACACCUUAUCAACCAUAAAAUCAAAAAACUCCCUCUUAUUCCUCUCGACGAAAAUCAAAAGCCCCAAAUAUUUAGAAAAAGAAUCUGUCUUACAAACAUUAAGGAGACCACAAAAUUAUACCUCGAUCAGUCGUUGUUAUGUUGGUAGUGGACACUAUUUCAGAUUUUUCAUAAUUAACUUGCUAGCUUGACACUCGCUGAUAUAGAUCUAAACAAUGUUUAAUCAUAAAAGCUUCUGUUGCAGAGGCCUGAAAAAAAUACAAUGCGUCGUCCAUAAAAAAGAGGUGACUUAUAAUCGGGGACCGCACACCACCUUACAACCAGUAAUUUGUUGUCGUCGUUCAAAGCUCCUGAGAAGAUAAGAUAGAGCUUUAGCACAAAUAAUGAACAGGUAAGGGGAUAUUGAAUCACCUUGACGCGAGCCUCGACUUGCAACGAUCAGACCAAAAGACAAACCAACAUGACAAAUUGAUAAGUCACCCUGGUAAUAUGCUUCAUGAUUUUAUCCACCUAGGCCUGAGCAAAACCCAUUGGCAACAUCAAUUCUCCCAGAAACCUCCACUCAACCCUAUCGUACGCCUUAAACAUAUUAGUUUUUAAAGUUGCAAUCCCUGCACUUCUCUGAGAUUUACGCUUCAAACAGUGCAUCACUUCAAAAGCAAUCAUUGCAUUAUUAGCAAUCAAAUGAUUCAGAAUGAAAGCACUCUAGGCUUCAUCAAUAAUCAAAGGUAAGACCCUUUUCAAUCUAUUUGCCAUAGCCUUUGCCACAAUUUUAUCAAUAACAUUACUAAGGGAAAUUCGUCGUAGAUCCGACAUAAACUCUGGACAUUUCUUCUUAGGAAUGAGAACAAUAUUAGUCUUAUUAAGUCCUGGAAGAGGUGCCCCCACUAUUCAGACAAGCACGACCCACAUCCCCACCAACUAUUGGCCAAAAGGCUUGGAAGAAAGCAGGGUUAAAGCCAUCCAGUCUAGCUGCUUUAUCAGGAUGCAUGAUGAAAAUCGCAUCCUUGUCUUCACUCAUCGCAAACGACUCCAGAAGCUCACUAUUAUGUUCUUCCAAAAUCUUAGGUUCCACACACUGAAGACCUGUAUCAAACUCCCCUUGCUAUGAUCGGAAUAAAUUAACAUAAUACUCUAUAAUGAUCUUAUCCAGUCUGUUAUCCCAAACAACCCAAGCACCAACGGUAUCACGCAACUGAUUGAUAGCAUUUUUUCAUCUUCUACGAGAUGCCAUCAAAUGGAAAAUAUUUAAUAUUAAGUUAACCAUCUCGCAACCAUAAUUGCUUUGACCACUGCCACCAAUAAGCCUCUUGUUAGCCAAGGACUGCCAUAUAUGCCUCAUGCGCUAUUCGAUAUAGUGUAAUAGAGCAAGCGUCAUGUCCCCCCUUAUAACGAUGCAUUUGAUUUUUGCUCUGGCGCAACUUUGCUUUAAAUUCUAUAUGCUUGUGAUUGCCCCACUUAUGAAGAGCUGCAACACGGUUAUAAAUUCGUUCCAAAAUAUUCAUACUAGUCCUCGGAAACCAAGCUGCUUGAACAACCUCAUGGAAAUUCUCUUCACACAACCAAGCAUUCUCAAACUGAAACAGACGGGGGCAUAACGAAUUAUUGUAAUACCCAACCCCAUAAAAAUAGCAUUGUGAUCACUCUGGGUUGCUUCAAAAUAAAAAAGUUGGGCAAGGGGAAAUUGCCUUAACUAACUAUCUAUUGCCAAACAUCUAUCAAGCCUUUUUGAAACCCAGCCUACAGUACCACGUCCUCAUUCCGAAGUAAACUUAUUGCUAGUGUAACCAGUAUCAAACAGACCACUAGAAGCAAUAGUGCGUCUAAAACUGUUAAUGAGACAAGCAGGAUGAUUAAUACGACUUGCCUUUUCAUUAUGAGCCAAUAAGUCAUUAAGGUCACCCCCAACACACCAUGGUAAAGACGAUUUGUUUUUCAAAGAGAUCAACAGGUUCCAAGACUCUCAAUGAGGACUUCUCUCAGGCAAACCAUAAAAACCUGUAAAUCUAUAAGGCUUAACACCAUCCAUAUAAAUGCCAACAUCAAUAUAAUUAUUAUUAUAGCCAAUAAGAGAACAAGAGUUUUUAUCCUUCCAUAACAGAGCAAGGUCCCCGCUAUGACCAUGUUGGUUAACAACAAACAGGCCUUCAAAGCCCAACAACCGUCUGACUUUUAGGUAAAGUAAAGUUUCAAAUGCAUUUUACAUUGUUUUUUUAAUGUGAAAAAAAAAAAUAUUUGUAUUUAUUUUGAAUUACAAAAUAACUAAAGAAAAAAAAAUUAGAAGUGACACAAGCCACAAAUUUCAAACAAGAUACACGAGAAACACUCCCAUUACCGCAAAAGAAAGCAAGAGAAUGCGAUAAACUUUCUAAAUCUCAAUUGUAUUAAGACUUUUUCCUCUUCAGUGUUAUAUAAAUUGCGACAUUCAUAAUAAAAAAGAAACAAGACACAUAUCAAGAAACUAAAAAUCUAUACAAGAUGAUUAAACGCCUUAGUCUCCUCGCAUUCGUCGAAUAUGCCAUCAUCGCCAUUGUUUUUACAGCCACAACUGUUACCUCUGAUGAUGCAGCACCAAUACCAGAGGCUGAAGCUGAAGUAAACGCUUGUUUUGAAGCAAAUGUCAAGCCACUGGCAGACCGUAAGGGCACUUUAAAUGCUGACCUUGAAGCGGCUGAAGCUACUCCCAAAACUAUUAAGGUGAGAGCAGACGGAAGUGGAGAGUUCAAGACUAUAACAGAAGCUGUUAAGAGAAUUCCAGCCAAAAAUGCACAACGCGUGAUUGUGGAUAUUGGACCUGGAACCUAUACCGAGAAAAUUACCGUUGAAAAAGAUAAGCCCUUUGUUUCGUUUGUCGGAGUACCUGAGAAGACAAUCAUAGAAUUUGCUGGCACUGCUCAUGAAUAUGGAACUGUGUAUAGCGCCACAUUACAAGUGGAGUCUGAUUUCUUCGUGGGAAGCGGUUUAGUUAUCAAG